UUUUCCUACGGGGGGCAGCAGUGAGGAAUAUUGGUCAAUGGGCGCGAGCCUGAACCAGCCAAGUCGCGUGAGGGAUGACGGCCCUACGGGUUGUAAACCUCUUUUGUCGGGGAGCAAAUUCCGCCACGUGUGGCGGAGUCGAGAGUACCCGAAGAAAAAGCAUCGGCUAACUCCGUGCCAGCAGCCGCGGUAAUACGGAGGAUGCGAGCGUUAUCCGGAUUUAUUGGGUUUAAAGGGUGCGCAGGCGGUCUGUUAAGUCAGCGGUCAAAGCCCGGGGCUCAACCCCGGCCCGCCGUUGAAACUGG
rnacentral:rRNA from 1 species